ensembl:lncRNA
CAGAAAUCAUCUAAGCUGCUGACAUUGCGAAGAUGAUCAAUGUGAGAAAGACUUGCAAGAUCAGUCUCUUCAGCACAGAUGAGCUGCAGAUCACCUCAUGUAAAUGAAGGAACUGAACCUCAGAAGUUUCCUGACAGCUAUGUGUGGAAAGAUUCUAAUGUUUCUGUUUACAUCUCUGACAUUCCUGAACUCACUGAAGCCAGGGAAAAAGAAACAUGCAAACAAGGAAACUUAAAAGAGCACCAUUCAUAUGGAUGUACGUGUACAGGUGUUGGCAUUAGGUGUCUGCUGGAGUUGCUUCUCUCAGGAGAGGCCAGGGUCUGCCCCGUGCCAUUUCUAUUUCAUUCCAGCCAGCUCCAAAGGACACAUUGCAGAGAACAGCAGAGUGCAUCAGCCAAGUUGGUGUCAUCUCUAGAAUAACAUACUUACAAAACAGCUGAAAAAACACCCAGGAAGUGUGAAAGUGGGAGAGGAAGAUACUACAUUGGCUAUUAAGAAAAUUUCUUCUCAGAAAUAAUGGUAAUGCAUUGGAACAGUCUGCCCAGGGAGGUGGUGGAGUCACCAUCCCUGGACGUGUUCAAGAAAUGUGUGUGUAGAUGUGGCACUUUGGGACAAGGUUUACGGGGCACAGCUGGUGAUGAAUUAACAGUUGGACUAGAUGUACUUAAAGGUCUUUUCCAACUUUUAUGAUUUUAUGACUGAGAAACACAAACGCAAACACAAAGAUCAGAGAAGGAAAGGGAAUAAGGUCCCAUGUCCCAGAGCACAUAUUUCCCUGCAGCUUGUGGAAAGGACCAUAGUGGAGCAGGCAUUGUAAGAGACUAUUCUUUUAUAUCAUUGACUCAAAGUUUGCUGAGGAACAAGUCCAGGCAAGUCCUGGGCAAAGGCAGAGAAAUCUUUUGUCUUGAGGACACUGAUGGACAGGUCCUGGCUAAGGAUUGUAAAAUCCUCUAAGGAGCACAGAUGGACAAGGCUAGGGGCAACCAGAGAGAGAUAAGCUGCUGCUAAUGGCCAGGAAACGGUCUUUUUGUGUGGACUUAUCUCGAGGAAGAUGGCCAUCCCAGGAGGUAUGCACAGGACUCUUGCUCAAGCACCCAGGAAUGCCACGUAGGCAGGAGAAAAUGGAGGAUAAAAGAGGGUCCAACAACCACGGCAAGAGAGAGGCUUAUCACUCACCACGACAGACUUGAGGGGUUCUCUGCCAUCUGAUCCUUCACUGCAACGUGGAGGCUGAUCUCUCACCACAACACAGAGGCUGAUCUCUCAUGAUCUCUCACCACGACACGAGCUUCCUGCCUUCAGAUCCUUCUCUACGGACCGUUUGCUGACAGACUUCCCUGGGCCUGCUACCUGAGACCUGCUGCUUCCUCCCUGACCUGCACCCUCUCGUUGCUCAAGACUGGCCUCGCUGCUCCUGCCCUUCGGCCUCGGAGUGUCGGAACGUCAUGCAACGGGACUGCUGCUGGAUCCUGGUGGUGACUAUCCCCGCUUUACGCAAUUCUUGCCUCUUUCUAUCUUUUCUAUCGCUCGCCUUCCCUUCCCCAUCACCCCAAUCCUUAAUAGUGUCCGUCCUCCCCUUUCUUCAUCUCCCUUAUUAACAUUUGUAAUAAACUGGUCGGACCAACAUUUGAACCGUUGUUUCUUAAUCUCACGCCGGGCAUACAUAUUUCAAAGAACCUCCUCUCCCUCCUAUAAAUUGGAGCGAGACAGGCAUCCAUACCGCAGUGUAUGGAGGAUCCCACACCACAGCAGGUGAAUAUUCCUGAAGGAACUGCAUUGUGUGGAGAAUCCAUGUAGAAGCAGUGCAAUCUAGGAGUAAGAAAGAUGAACUGUUAUGUACUGAUCACAACCCUCAAUUCUCU